rnacentral:misc_RNA from 1 species
GAUGAAGAACGCAGUGAAAUGCGAUAAGUAAUGUGAAUUGCAGAAUUCAGUGAAUCAUCGAAUCUUUGAACGCACAUUGCGCCCCCUGGUAUUCCGGGGGGCAUGCCUGUCCGAGCGUCAUUACAACCCUCAAGCUCAGCUUGGUAUUGGGCCCCGCCGACCCGGCGGGCCCUAAAGUCAGUGGCGGUGCCGUCCGGCUCCGAGCGUAGUAAUUCUUCUCGCUCUGGAGGUCCGGUCGUGUGCUCGCCAGCAACCCCCAAUUUUUUUCAGGUUGACCUCGGAUCAGGUAGGGAUACCCGCUGAACUUAAGCAUAUCAAUAAGCGGAGGA